AUGUCGCACCGGAAGUUCGAGCACCCGAGGCACGGAUCCCUCGGUUUCCUCCCCAGGAAGCGGUGCUCGCGCCACCGCGGAAAGGUGAAGGCCUUCCCCAGAGAUGACCAAUCCAAGAAAUGCCAUCUCACUGCCUUCCUUGGCUACAAGGCUGGGAUGACUCACAUUGUGCGUGAGGUCGAGAAGCCUGGUUCCAAGCUACACAAGAAGGAGACAUGUGAGGCUGUCACCAUUGUUGAGACACCCCCGAUUGUUAUUGUUGGACUUGUUGCCUAUGUGAAGACUCCUCGUGGCCUUCGUACUCUCAACUCUGUCUGGGCACAGCAUCUCAGCGAAGAUGUGAGGAGAAGGUUCUACAAGAACUGGUGCAAGAGCAAGAAGAAGGCCUUCACCAAGUAUGCUCUGAAGUAUGACAGUGAUGCUGGCAAGAAAGAAAUCCAGAUGCAGCUUGAGAAGAUGAAGAAGUAUGCUACUGUUGUCCGAGUUAUCGCCCAUACCCAGAUCAGGAAGAUGAAGGGGUUGAAGCAGAAGAAGGCUCACCUCAUGGAGAUCCAGAUCAAUGGUGGCACCAUCGCUGACAAGGUCGACUAUGGUUACAACUUCUUUGAGAAGGAAGUCCCCAUUGAUGCUGUAUUCCAAAAAGAUGAGAUGAUUGACAUCAUUGGAGUUACCAAGGGUAAGGGUUAUGAAGGUGUUGUGACACGUUGGGGUGUCACCCGUCUUCCCCGCAAGACCCACAGAGGUCUUCGCAAGGUUGCCUGUAUUGGUGCCUGGCAUCCUGCUAGGGUGUCCUACACUGUUGCUCGUGCUGGUCAGAAUGGAUACCACCACCGAACUGAGAUGAACAAGAAGGUCUACAAGAUUGGCAAGGUUGGACAGGAAACUCAUGAUGCCUCUACUGAGUUCGACAGGACCGAGAAGGACAUCACUCCGAUGGGCGGCUUCCCUCACUAUGGUGUGGUGAAGGCUGACUACCUGAUGAUCAAAGGAUGCUGUGUCGGCCCCAAGAAGCGCGUGGUGACCCUCCGCCAGUCCCUGCUGAAGCAGACCUCUCGUCUGGCCCUGGAGGAGAUCAAGCUCAAGUUUGUCGACACCUCUUCCAAGUUCGGCCACGGUCGCUUCCAGACCACAGACGAGAAGCAGAGGUUCUACGGCAAGCUCAAGGCUUGA
rnacentral:rRNA from 1 species